CAGUCGAGAAUCUUCGGCAAUGGACGCAAGUCUGACCGAGCGAUGCCGCGUGCGGGAUGAAGGCCUUCGGGUUGUAAACCGCUGUCAGAGGGGAUGAAGUGUACGGGAGUUAUCUCCUGUAUUUGACAGAGCCUCAGAGGAAGCACGGGCUAAGUUCGUGCCAGCAGCCGCGGUAAUACGAACUGUGCGAACGUUAUUCGGAAUCACUGGGCUUAAAGGGUGCGUAGGCGGUUAUCUAAGUCAGGUGUGAAAUCUCUCGGCUCAACCGGGAAACUGCGCUUGAAACUGGAUGACUGGAGUGAUGCAGGGGUGUGUGGAACUUCCGGUGGAGCGGUGAAAUGUGUAGAUAUCGGAAGGAACGCCAGCAGCGAAAGCGGCACACUGGGCAUUUUCUGACGCUGAGGCACGAAAGCUAGGGGAGUGAACGGGAUUAGA
rnacentral:rRNA from 1 species